GCCGCGCUCCCCAUCGGGCCAAUGGCGGCGCUGUCCGCGCGCGGCCACCUGACCCCGGGCGCAGUUGUUAUUAGGCGCGGUGAGGCGGGAGGCGCGCGGCAGCAGGGUUGGGCUCUGGCUGGGAGUCGACUAAGGGAGUGAGGGCCGGGAGCGCGCGCGCGCGCGUCCCCACGCCCGGACUGUCCGCCGCGGCUCUCUUGCUUCCCGCCUCCUGCCACGGUCUUGUUCAGCCCCGUCAGCCCUUCCGCCCGCCUCCCUCGCCGGCCCUCAGCUCGCACAUCUGAGUGACAUGAGGUCAGACAAGUCACCUGCAUUCACUGCUGUACCCCAGUGCCUAGAACUGUGCCUGACAUAAAGAAAGGUUUCAAAGACCCAAGGCCAAUGAAGAAAUGAGUCACUCAGGCUGUCAGCCAAUCAGCUAACCAACCAAAAUACAGCAAAAUUGACAGCACACUAUUUGUUCCUUGCCAGGAAGUCAGAAGUUUCCAUCUACAGCAUAAAUUCCGAUGAAUGCCUUUGACGCUAGGAAGAGAGGCCACUGGCAUCUCCAGCUGCUUCUUGCCCUGAAGAAACCACACUGAGCAGAACAGACAUCCAUUUUAUAUCAACGCCUGGCGUUCAUGUCCUUCCUCAAGUUAAUAAAAUUAUGGUGAAAAAAGUCCCUUGCCGAUGAAGUAAACACUUGAGAAAGAAGCAGAGGACCGGCGGUAGUGGCGCUGGCUGACUUCUGUGGGUUUCAUCACUGCGCUUUAACUUUUGGCUUCUGAUUGGGUUCAGCCCAUUGGAGGCGCAGGAGGAGAUGGGAGGGAGCCGGAGAGAAGUCGGGCCAUUUCUUCCUCUGCUUCAUUCCUGCCAGGCCACAGUUUAUCAGUGACUGCAGCGCCCCUCUGAAGGCCAAGUAACAGAGUGAAAGAAGGCUUCCCUCUGCAUACCCUUGGAUUUCUUCCUCCUAGAGGGGAGAACCUGGUUUGCAGUGUUCCAGAGGCAGGUGAGAACAAAUGCCCUUGAAGCCGAGCCAGGGCAGAAUCUCAGACUCUAGCUGCCAGAUCUGCCUCUCAAGGACCUUUCUCUCCUUUGCCACUGUCACUGCACCAGUCCAAGCCACCUUGGCUCUUGCUGGGAAACUGCAGCAGGCCCUCACCUCAUCCCAGAUGGUCACCUGCCCUCUGUUCUCUCUGCACUCAAUAGCCAAAACCCAUCAGUGAUGCCUGCUGCCUUGAAUGAAGUAUGCAGAACUGUGCCACCCCCUCAUGCUGGCCCCCUCUGACCUCGCUGCCUCAUUUCAUGCCAUGCUCCCCUCCCCAUCUCAAGUUUAAGCUAUACCAGCUUUGUCUUCCUCAAACAAGCCUGAGCCCCACCUUAGGGCCUCUCACCCUGCUUUGUUCUUUGCCUGCAAUGCUUCAACCCCCAUUUCCACUCCCAGUUACCUGUUUAUACCCCCUCAUUCACACCUCAGCUUGAGGACCCAGCCUUGAACCCCAAAACUGGGUCCCCAUAAAUGCUUGCCUUGCACCCUGUACAUUUCCUGAGUGCAUGCUCAGCAUCUUCACAUAAUAGAUGCUCAACAAAUUUUCCAGUGACUGAACCUUUAGUGUGUAACUGGAGAAAGUAAUAAGACUCAGAGGACAACACUGAAGUCACACAGCUGGUCAGUAUCAGGGCCAAGACACAAGCCUAGGUCUUUUAACUUUGGGCUCCUUCAUGCAGGAGAGGUCCCCUUGUGCCUGCCAUUGCCACAGAACACUACCUACAGGAGAGGAGUGGGACACUCCAUCCUAACCUUCUCUUCGUGUCUGCUCCUCAAACUGCACGUGCCAUCCAUCCACCUGUUCAUUUCUUUCGCUAUGACCAUUCACCUAUUCGUCAGAUACUGAUUGAGCAUAAAUGUAUGUGUGUUAUUGUGCUAUCCAUAGGCAUACAACAGUGAGCCCAACAGACAGGCUGCUGCCCUCCAUGUGGUGAGGAGACUGACCAAAUCUCAUAAAACAGAUCAAAGCAUGUUGGACAGUAACUGGAGGGAAGGGCUGUGAGGAAACCAAGUGGCAGAGUGAUGGAGGAAGCAGUGGAUUGGCCCGUUCAGCACCAAGCCCCCCCAUUCCUUCCUAAUAGAACCUGAAUUGCAUUCAGUUGUCCACUGUCUCAAAUAUACCCUGGGCCUCAGGAGAGACUGCCUCAACCCCCAGCCUGUGGGGUGACCUGGUUGUCCCAAGGGUAACCCCAACCCCUUGCCAGUGAUGAGCUCAGAAAGGAGCAUGGGGCCAUUUCAUACUAAUGAGUCAAAGGCAGUUCUGCUGGGGAGGUAGGGGCCUCUAGGGAAAGUGCCUUUGUCUUAAAGAGGAAACCACAGGUGGAGAUGGUCUCUCUUCUUCCUCUGAAUGUUGUCAUGUCAUGAGGGGAUGGCUGGAACUGCUGCAGCCACUUGCUCCCAGCCUGAGGGUGGAGCGAACCCCAUGCCCAGCUGAGCAGAGCGAUGGAAGAACCAGGGCGCUGAUGACCCCUGUGAGCUGCUGUACCUGCGAGCCCUGGAGCCCUCUGCCUUCCCAUCCAUGUGAGAUCAUGAGUCAUUGUUUAAUUUCCCUUGUCUUGUAGCUCACCCAAAGCACCAAAUACAGAUACAUGGGCCAUAUCUACUCUCACUGCUCUAACCCUGACUCCUACCAGUGGAAUGAAUGGUAUGUCUUAAGUCAGAUUUCCCAGAAGCAGACCUGAGACAAGGCUCCAUGUGCCAGUGUUGUGUUAUGGAAAUGCUCCCAGGGGGUCUCAUAAGGGGGAAAUGGAAGUAGGCAAGGAAGUUGGGGGUUGAGGAGCCAAGCACAGGAGCAAGGUUAAACAAAGCCUCCUCAACACACACCAGGGACAGCUUUCACCUGAUCCCCUAGAGGGAGCUCUGGAGCAUAAGCUGCUGCUCCUGAAUUGGCCCAUCUCAGAUGGGCCUUCAAAACCCACUCCUCAGCUCUGCCUAAGGGCCACCCCAUGGGCUUAUAGAAACCCAGACCCCUUCAAGCUCUCAGCUCUUGCAGGAGCCCAAGAGAGGCACCUCCUGACCACUGGGGGCAAAGUGGAAUGAAGCUAGCAGCAGGGUGCACACAAGCAAUAGAAGGGAUCAAAAAAGGGCAGGGUGUGGGCCAGCAGUGUGGGCCAUCAAGUAGAUAAAUGAACAGCCCUGCAUGUGCCCACAAUUAGCUCUCAAACAAACAGCAAAGCCAAGACAGCCUUCUGGUCUGCAAGUGAUUUCACCAUAUCCCUCCUGUUGCCAAAGGAGUCUUUUCCUACUGCCCACACAGUGUAGCCAACAGGAGCCCUGCAACUCUUAUUAAAAUGUAAAUAAAUAUUUGCAUUUCAAAAUUAUCAUUGCACUUCAAUAUUCACCUUGAGGUUCUUUUUGCAAAACAUUGAAAAUCAGAUCAUAAUUUGAUGAUGAAAUAUUGAUUACACAUCUAUAUUUCUAUGCAGAAGUCUAUACUAUUUAGACAGAACAACCACCCUAUAAUAUCUUCUAUUUCAACUCAAUAUGAAGAUGGAUGGUC